GGUCAUAUAGGUAAAUAUAUAUGUCAUAUAUGCAAUUUAAGUAUAUGAUUGUUAACAACGUUAACAAAGUUAAACAAAGUUUUUUUUUUUUCAUUGACUUGCAUUGACUAUUCAGUAUUGACCCAUAAGCCAUAAUGAGUGCAAAGGAGAUACAUAUUAAAAAAGAUCAACAUGUCUCUGCAGAUGAUGUUGAGGAGAAAAUGGAUCUCAUCAACUCUCUUGAUAAUGAUUCCUUAGCACAAGUAUUUAUGAUGCUGCCAAUAUCUGAGCGAAUAACUAUGGAUCAAGUCUGUUCUAAAUGGAAAGAAGCCUGUCAACUAGCUUGGCAUGACAUUAAAAAAUACAAAUGUACCAAUACAAUUGUUCGUAAUAAUAAAAAAUGUGUUUUAACACAAUCACACGUA